rnacentral:rRNA from 1 species
UACGGAGGGUGCAAGCGUUAUCCGGAUUCACUGGGUUUAAAGGGUGCGUAGGCGGGUUGGUAAGUCAGUGGUGAAAUCUUCAAGCUUAACUUGGAAACUGCCGUUGAUACUAUCAAUCUUGAAUAUUGUGGAGGUAAGCGGAAUAUGUCAUGUAGCGGUGAAAUGCUUAGAUAUGACAUAGAACACCAAUUGCGAAGGCAGCUUACUACACAGUUAUUGACACUGAGGCACGAAAGCGUGGGGAUCAAACAGG